AGUGUAGAUUCAGAGUUUGAUCCUGGCUCAGGAUGAACGCUAGCGGCAGGCCUAACACAUGCAAGUCGAGGGGUAGAGUUAGCUUGCUAACUUGAGACCGGCGCACGGGUGCGUAACGCGUAUGCAAUCUACCUUAUACUGAGGGAUAGCCCGGAGAAAUCCGGAUUAAUACCUUAUAGUAUAUUAAAGUGGCAUCAUUUUGAUAUUAAAGAUUUAUUGGUAUAAGAUGAGCAUGCGUCCCAUUAGUUAGUUGGUGUGGUAACGGCACACCAAGACGAUGAUGGGUAGGGGUCCUGAGAGGGAGAUCCCCCACACUGGUACUGAGACACGGACCAG
rnacentral:rRNA from 1 species